rnacentral:rRNA from 1 species
UACAUAGGAGGCGAGCGUUCUCCGGAUUUACUGGGCGUAAAGAGCGUUGAGGCGGCCCUGUAAGUUGGACGUGAAAGCUCCUGGCUCAACUGGGAGAGGUCGUUCAAUACUGCAGGGCUUGAGGACAGCAGAGGGGGGUGGAAUUCCCGGUGUAGUGGUGAAAUGCGUAGAUAUCGGGAGGAACACCAGUGGCGAAGGCGGCCCCCUGGGCUGCUCCUGACGCUGAAGGCGAAAGCUAGGGGAGCGAACGGG